UGUGUUUUUCCCUUCCAUCGC
rnacentral:miRNA from 1 species